AUUGAACGCUGGCGGCAGGCCUAACACAUGCAAGUCGAACGAGUGGCGGACGGGUGAGUAAUGUCUGGGAAACUUCCUGAUGGAGGGGGAUAACUACUGGAAACGGUAGCUAAUACCGCAUUCUAUCCGUUGUGCCUAGAUGGGAUUAGCUAGUGGGUGGGGUAACGGCUUACCAAGGCGACGAUCCCUAGCUGGUCUGAGAGGAUGACCGGCAAAACGGGAACUGAGACACGGUCCAGACUCCUACGGGAGGAAGCAGUGGGGAAUAUUGCACAAUGGGGGAAAGCCGGAGGCAGCCAUGCCGCGUGUAUGAAGAAGGCCUUCGGGUUGUAAAGUACUUUCAGCGGGGAGGCGUUACCCGCAGAAGAAGCACCGGCUAACUCCGUGCCAGCAGCCGCGGUAAUUC
rnacentral:rRNA from 1 species